AAUUCUUGUUAUUUACCGUAUAUACUUGUGCAUAAGCUGAAUAUUUUUGGUAAAAAAGUAACGCAUCAAAGAGCGGUGGUCAGCUUAUAAACGGGUCGACACCAAAAUCUGAUGAUUUUAAACUGG